rnacentral:rRNA from 1 species
AUUGAACGCUGACGGCAUGCUUUACACAUGCAAGUCGAACGGUAACAGGUUAAGCUGACGAGUGGCGAACGGGUGAGUAAUGCAUCGGAACGUGCCCGGUCGUGGGGGAUAACGCAGCGAAAGUUGCGCUAAUACCGCAUACGAUCUGAGGAUGAAAGCGGGGGACCGUAAGGCCUCGCGCGAUCGGAGCGGCCGAUGUCAGAUUAGGUAGUUGGUGGGGUAAAGGCUCACCAAGCCAACGAUCUGUAGCUGGUCUGAGAGGACGACCAGCCACACUGGGACUGAGACACGGCCCAGACUCCUACGGGAGGCAGCAGUGGGGAAUUUUGGACAAUGGGCGAAAGCCUGAUCCAGCAAUGCCGCGUGCAGGAAGAAGGCCUUCGGGUUGUAAACUGCUUUUGUACGGAGCGAAAGGGUCUCCUCUAAUACAGGGGGCUCAUGACGGUACCGUAAGAAUAAGCACCGGCUAACUACGUGCCAGCCGCCGCAGUAA